rnacentral:rRNA from 1 species
GAUGAACGCUAGCGGCAGGCUUAAUACAUGCAAGUCGUGGGGCAGCAGGUUUGUAGCAAUACAGAUGCUGGCGACCGGCAAACGGGUGCGGAACACGUACAGAACCUUCCUUUGAGCGGGGAAUAGCCCAGAGAAAUUUGGAUUAAUACCCCAUAGUAUAAUGAAGUGGCAUCACUUUAUUAUUAAAGAUUUAUCACUCGAAGAUGGCUGUGCGGCUGAUUAGGUAGUUGGCGGGGUAAAGGCCCACCAAGCCUGCGAUCAGUAACUGGUGUGAGAGCACGACCAGUCACACGGGCACUGAGACACGGGCCCGACUCCUACGGGAGGCAGCAGUAAGGAAUAUUGGUCAAUGGAGGCAACUCUGAACCAGCCAUGCCGCGUGGAGGAUGAAGGUCCUCUGGAUUGUAAACUUCUUUUAUAUGGGACGAAAAAAGGCUUUUCUAAGUCGUCUGACGGUACCAUAUGAAUAAGCACCGGCU